rnacentral:lncRNA from 1 species
UGCAACCUUCUUGUUCCUCAAUUACUUUCUCUUCAAGAUCUAUCUUUUCUCCAAGAUACUGCUUUAUAUGUCUUGCAUAAAUAGGAAUUUGUUGAAGUGCUUUAGCCAAAGGUAUAGUAAUCUCCAUUUUAUUGAAGAUUUCUCUAAAUCGCUCACACUUUCUCUCUUCUCUCUUUUGCCCCUCUGGGUAAGGAAGAACUAUCUCAUCUUUCUUAAUUUUUUUCUCUUUUUCAAUUUUUUUCUCUCCCCUCUUCUCUUCUUCUUUUUCUAUCUCACCCUCACAAAUCUCUUCUUUUUCCUCUCUUUCCUCAAACUCAACACUUUCUUUUUCCACUCUUUCGUCAACCACAUUCACAACAACCUUACAAUCUUC